AUACCAUAUAGCCUAGAUAUGUAGUAGGCUGUACCAUGUAGUUUUGUAUAAGUACACUCUGUGAUGUUCCACAAUGACAGAACUGCCUAAGGACACAUUUCCUAGAACUUAUCCCUGUUGUUAAGCAACACAUGACUGUACAAACAUUUUGGGAGGUAGAGGAGAAACCUGAUUCCGUGUCCUGUCCAACCACUAAGUGAAACCUCAGAGACUGGAAAUUUCACCCUUGAUUAUAAUCUUGAUUUUAGGGUAUCUCAGAAAGGUGCUCACCCUUCCCAAAGAUAGUUGUUUUCUAAUAUGGGAAAUGAGAACUUCAUACAAGAAUGAAAUAAAGUAAUUACAAAACCAACUGUCAGUGUAAGAUGUGUUGCAAAUGAGUGACAAGGAAUAGCGGUGCUGUUCUACAACUCCACUCCGAACAGCAUUCUUAUGGCUCAGAACUGGGAGACUACCUCGUGAGAUAGUGGUUUGGUCUAUUACUAGACUCUUCCUUGGGUGCUGUUUUGUGGUCUUUAUUAACUGACAGCCAUCUUGGGCCAUUGGAUUGAUAUCCCACAUUGAAUGUAGGACAUCUUGCCUGUCAUUGACAGAAUAAUGGAUAAGGGUCAGACUUUUCCCCAUCAUGUUCUAUCCCAUGAUCCUGUUUUAUUUUCUUCCUAACCCUUAUCACUAAAUAAAAUUCUCAUGUUCAUUUAUUUAUUUACGU
rnacentral:lncRNA from 10 species